UCCGUUGUUGUCCAACGGUUAGGAUAUCUGGCUUUCACCCAGGAGACCCGGGUCGAUUCCCGACAACGGAA
rnacentral:tRNA from 1 species